rnacentral:rRNA from 1 species
GAUGAACGCUGGCGGCGUGCCUAAUACAUGCAAGUCGAGCGAACAGACGAGGAGCUUGCUCCUUCGAUGUUAGCGGCGGACGGGUGAGUAACACGUAGGUAACCUACCUAUAAGACUGGGAUAACUUCGGGAAACCGGAGCUAAUACCGGAUAAUAUUUCGAACCGCAUGGUUCGAUAGUGAAAGAUGGCUUUGCUAUCACUUAUAGAUGGACCUGCGCCGUAUUAGCUAGUUGGUAAGGUAACGGCUUACCAAGGCAACGAUACGUAGCCGACCUGAGAGGGUGAUCGGCCACACUGGAACUGAGACACGGUCCAGACUCCUACGGGAGGCAGCAGUAGGGAAUCUUCCGCAAUGGGCGAAAGCCUGACGGAGCAACGCCGCGUGAGUGAUGAAGGUCUUCGGAUCGUAAAACUCUGUUAUUAGGGAAGAACAAACGUGUAAGUAACUGUGCACGUCUUGACGGUACCUAAUCAGAAAGCCACGGCUAACUACGUGCCAGCCGCCGCUGUAACAC